UCAGCUCAGUGGUCGAGCGCUGGCUUUGGAAGCCACAGGUCGGUGGUUCAAAUCCACCCCUCUCAU
rnacentral:tRNA from 1 species